rnacentral:rRNA from 1 species
GCUAGCGGCAGGCCUAACACAUGCAAGUCGAGGGGUAACGAUGUCUUCGGACAGGCGACGACCGGCGCACGGGUGAGUAUCGCGUUUGUAACCUACCUUUAACUGGAGCAUAGCCCGAAGAAAUUCGGAUUAAUACUCCAUAACACUAUGAACUGGCAUCUUUUUAUAGUUAAAGCUCCGGCGGUUAAAGAUGGGCAUGCGUAACAUUAGUUUGUUGGUGAGGUAAUGGCUCACCAAGACUACGAUGUUUAGGGGGUCUGAGAGGAUGGUCCCCCACACUGGUACUGAGACACGGACCAGACUCCUACGGGAGGCAGCAGUGAGGAAUAUUGGUCAAUGGGCGCAAGCCUGAACCAGCCAUGCCGCGUGAAGGAUGACAGCGCUAUGCGUUGUAAACUUCUUUUGUACAGGAAGAAAUACUUCUACGUGUAGAAGCUUGACGGUACUGUACGAAUAAGCAUCGGCUAACUCCGUGCCA